rnacentral:rRNA from 1 species
AUGCAGCGACGCCGCGUGAGGGAUGACGGCCUUCGGGUUGUAAACCUCUUUCUGCAGGGAAGAAGCGAAAGUGACGGUACCUGCAGAAGAAGCGCCGGCUAACUACGUGCCAGCAGCCGCGGUAAUACGUAGGGCGCAAGCGUUGUCCGGAAUUAUUGGGCGUAAAGAGCUCGUAGGCGGCUUGUCACGUCGGAUGUGAAAGCCCGGGGCUUAACCCCGGGUCUGCAUUCGAUACGGGCAGGCUAGAGUGUGGUAGGGGAGAUCGGAAUUCCUGGUGUAGCGGUGAAAUGCGCAGAUAUCAGGAGGAACACCGGUGGCGAAGGCGGAUCUCUGGGCCAUUACUGACGCUGAGGAGCGAAAGCGUGGGGAGCGAACAGGAUUAGAUACCCUGGUAGUCCACGCCGUAAACGUUGGGAACUAGGUGUUGGCGACAUUCCACGUCGUCGGUGCCGCAGCUAACGCAUUAAGUUCCCCGCCUGGGGAGUACGGCCGCAAGGCUAAAACUCAAAUGAAUUGACGGG